AUUGAACGCUGGCGGCAUGCCUUACACAUGCAAGUCGAACGGCAGCACGGGAGCAAUCCUGGUGGCGAGUGGCGAACGGGUGAGUAAUAUAUCGGAACGUGCCCAGUCGUGGGGGAUAACGUAGCGAAAGCUACGCUAAUACCGCAUACGAUCUACGGAUGAAAGCGGGGGAUCGCAAGACCUCGCGCGAUUGGAGCGGCCGAUAUCAGAUUAGCUAGUUGGUGGGGUAAAAGCUCACCAAGGCGACGAUCUGUAGCUGGUCUGAGAGGACGACCAGCCACACUGGAACUGAGACACGGUCCAGACUCCUACGGGAGGCAGCAGUGGGGAAUUUUGGACAAUGGGCGCAAGCCUGAUCCAGCAAUGCCGCGUGCAGGAUGAAGGCCUUCGGGUUGUAAACUGCUUUUGUACGGAACGAAAAGGCUCUGGUUAAUACCUGGGGCUCAUGACGGUACCGUAAGAAUAAGCACCGGCUAACUACGUG
rnacentral:rRNA from 1 species